GUCGCCAACACCGACCUCCACGUGAACCCUACAGUCGGAUUUCCCUCUGUUUGUAGGCACCUGCUGCAUCCAUCAAGUUCGAAGUAGACCACAUCGAAAAUGCUCAGCGAUUCCACUUCUAUGCAAAGCUGCAGAUCUGACGCCGGCGAAAAAGUGAAAGCCAAGAUUAUGAAAAAUCUUUGUUGCCUUUGGAUCCAAUCGAUACCCGUUUGCUGAGGAACUUGGAAAACAAGCUCAAAUAAUUAUGGAGGACUUGAGAUAUUGGAUUUUCCUUGCAAUCAGUUUUUGCUUCUAGGACAAUGAAGUUGGCAAAAAAUCCUGUGAAGAAAAGCUCAUUGAAAUUCUAAUUAGGCUAUACUUGUGUCCCAAGAUAUGUUUCACCGAG